AGAAAGCUGACUAAUACUCUCUUCAUUCACCAAGCUUCCCUUCCGAGUGAGAGGGUCCAUCUUUACUAAUGUUAUUUUUUUUCCCUACNNNNNNNNNNNUUCCCUACAAGUGAGAAGUCUUUCACAUACUUUCAAGAUCAAAGGUACCUGGUUAAAAGCUAUAAAAAUACACAGAACUACUUUCAGGUAUGAGAUCUCAGCAGCCCCAUCUUUAGUUCCUGAAUCUCUGCCUUACAGUCCUCUCUCUUCCCAUGGGAUCAGAAGCACUGGCCAGCAAAUCUUACAUGGCAAUAAUCACUCUGCCUCCAGCUUAUCCUGUCCAUCUCCAAUAAAGCCACCAAGACAAGGUGCAAUCUCUGCAGCAUCUGUCACUGGCACUCACUACAGACCUCCCAAACCUCCAACCUUUGGAACUUAAGAUUUCUUUCUGGUGCCUUUUGGAGGAGAAGCGAA
rnacentral:lncRNA from 1 species